rnacentral:lncRNA from 10 species
AUGGGUAACGUAGAUGGUGAUCACAAGAAUAUGAAAUAGGCUGGCUGCAGUGGCUCAUGCUUGUAAUCCCAGCACUGUGGGAGGCCGAGGUAGGCCGAUCACCUGAGGUCAGGCCUUUGAGACCAGCCUGGCCAACAUGGCAAAACCCUAUCUGUACUAAAAAUACAAAACUUAGCAGGGCAUGGUGGUGCAUGCCUGUAAUCCCAGCUACUUGAGAGGCUGAAGGAGGGGAAUUGCUUGAACCCAGAAGGCAGAGGUUGC